GACGAACGCUGGCGGCGUGCUUAACACAUGCAAGUCGAACGUGAUUUUUGUGGAAAUUCUUUCGGGAAUGGAAAUGAAAUGAAAGUGGCGAACGGGUGAGUAACACGUGAGCAACCUACCUUACACAGGGGGAUAGCCGUUGGAAACGACGAUUAAUACCGCAUGAGACCACAGAAUCGCAUGAUAUAGGGGUCAAAGAUUUAUCGGUGUAAGAAGGGCUCGCGUCUGAUUAGCUAGUUGGAAGGGUAAAGGCCUACCAAGGCGACGAUCAGUAGCCGGUCUGAGAGGAUGGACGGCCACAUUGGAACUAGGACACGGUCCAAACUCCUACGGGAGGCAGCAGUGGGGAAUAUUGCACAAUGGGGGGAACCCUGAUGCAGCGACGCCGCGUGAGCGAAGAAGGUUUUCGAAUCGUAAAGCUCUGUCCUAUGAGAAGAUAAUGACGGUAUCAUAGGAGGAAGCCCCGGCUAAAUACGUG
rnacentral:rRNA from 1 species